UUCAAAAUGGCGGCCUACACAUGCAAGUCGAACGGUAGCACAGAGAGCUUGCUCUCGGGUGACGAGUGGCGGACGGGUGAGUAAUGUCUGGGUAAACUGCCCGAUGGAGGGGGAUAACUACUGGAAACGGUAGCUAAUACCGCAUAACGUCGCAAGACCAAAGUGGGGGACCUUCGGGCCUCACACCAUCGGAUGUGCCCAGAUGGGAUUAGCUAGUAGGUGGGGUAAUGGCUCACCUAGGCGACGAUCCCUAGCUGGUCUGAGAGGAUGACCAGCCACACUGGAACUGAGACACGGUCCAGACUCCUACGGGAGGCAGCAGUGGGGAAUAUUGCACAAUGGGCGCAAGCCUGAUGCAGCCAUGCCGCGUGUAUGAAGAAGGCCUUCGGGUUGUAAAGUACUUUCAGCGGGGAGGAAGGCGGUGAAGUUAAUAGCUUCACCGAUUGACGUUACCCGCAGAAGAAGCACCGGCUAACUCCGUGCCAGCAGCCGCGGUAAUACGGAGGGUGCAAGCGUUAAUCGGAAUUACUGGGCGUAAAGCGCACGCAGGCGGUCUGUCAAGUCGGAUGUGAAAUCCCCGGGCUUAACCUGGGGACCUGCAUUCGAAACUGGCAGGCUAGAGUCUUGUAGAGGGGGGUAGAAUUCCAGGUGUAGCGGUGAAAUGCGUAGAGAUCUGGAGGAAUACCGGUGGCGAAAGCGGCCCCCUGGACAAAGACUGACGCUCAGGUGCGAAAGCGUGGGGAGCCAACAGGAUUAGAUACCCUGGUAGUCCACGCCGUAACACGAUGUCGACUUGCAGGUUGUUCCCUUGAGGAGUGGGCUUCCGGAGCUAACGCGUUAAGUCGACCGCCUGGGGAGUACGCCGCAAGUUUAAAACUCAAUGAAUUGACCGGGGGCCCGCACAAGCGGUGGAGCAUGUGGUUUAAUUCGAUGCAAGACACGAGUCUAUCCCUUAC
rnacentral:rRNA from 1 species